UCAUCGGCACAAUUAUGUUGUUUCUUAGUUUGUUUCUUAGGGGUAGAUAAUAUUAAUUAUUGAAACCUAAGCUAAGAAAUGCAAGAUUCGUUUCUUAUUUUAGGAUUGCAAGAAACGUCUCUUGCUGGACAAGUGUCACAAAAUCAGUGGGUCGAGUUUUAUUUGGGACGAAGGGGUUUAAUUUUUUUUUUCAUCUCUCUUUCACUUUCCUUUUUUCUCUUUUCUUUCUCUCUCUCUCUCUCUCUCUCUCGAGACUUUUCGCGAUUUCAGCUUGAAUCUCUUCUUCCUUCGAUUCCGGAAACUGAUUGCUUCUCUUCCAGUUGAUUCCCACGGCUAUUGGACUAGGAUUUGGCCGCGAUUUGGUUCCGGUGAAGCAGGGGGCAUGUGAUUCCGGUGGUGAGCGAUCCGUCGAAACCCUAAUAUUUGGGGAAGAUUCAAGCCAUUCGAUUUGUUCAGAUUCUCAUAAUAGGUUGAAUUGGGUUUGUGUAUCUGAAACCGAUUGAAUCAAAGUUUCUUCCUUUACGUUUUGGAUGCCAAGGAGUUUUUCCCUUCUUACUACAACCCUAAGAAGAACAAUCAGGUUGGGAAACCUAAUCAAUUUCUCUCUGCUGACGAUUUUGCUACAGCCAAGAAGCAAUCAGGUGAAGAAUUUGAAUCUGAUGCCAAGAAGGAUGAUAAUACCAGGAAGAGAAGAAACAAUUAUAGCCAAGGGAGGAGGAGGUUGACUGGGAGGAUUUCUAAGGCUCAAAGAUAGGAUAGUAUUAGAAGAACAGUGUAUGUUUCUGACAUUGACCAGAGUGUGACUGAGGAGGGUCUUGCUGCCUUGUUUAGUAACUGUGGACAAUCAGAAGAUGAAAGGGAGAUGUGCACAAGGACAAUCUACUGCACAAAUAUCGACAAGAAGGUUUCUCAAGCUGAUGUGAGAACCUUCUUUGAGUCUGCAUGUGGUGAGGUUGAAUUGGGUUUGUGUAUCUGAAACCGAUUGAAUCAACUCUUUUCUCUCCUAUCACAUUUUGAGCUCAAACCAAUCACAAUUAAGGCGACAAGGAAACAAUAUUUCAACCAAAUCUCCGAAAGAGGUAAAUAUACACCUAACUUGUUUAUAUUUAAAUUGAUUGCUUUGUUUGUUUGGUAGUUUCUUUUUUCGGAUAGUGAGUUAUAGCAUGUCAUAUCAGAUUUGUGCUCCUAUGUGUACUUCUUUGUGACUAGGUAGUAAUUAUUCUUAAUUGGUGGUUGUUCUUUCAUUAAUGGAAGUGACUAGGUUGUGUAUUCAUUGUGUGUUUGGUGUCGAGAAUUAAUUGUAACUCCAAUAUGCUUCACUUUAAAAACUAAGCUUUUCUUGAUCUUAAACCACAAACCCGAGUAUCUUCCAACCAUAAACCAUUCUUCGUUUCUACACCUCUCAAGCAUAAACCACUCUUCUUUUCUUCUUUGCUACUAUGGAGUCAGACCAUGAGCUAAACCAGUCCACAAAUUUUGUGGGACUUAUGAAUAGUCAAACCAUUUCUUUUGAUUCCCUCUACCCAAAUAUACCUACUCUGUCGUCUCCACUUCCUCUCUUUAGUUCCCAAGUCAGUUCCGCAGCUUCCCCAAGUGAAGACACAACACCUUCCCCAAGUCAGUUCCGUAGGGAGAGAAGGAAAUGGACACCUUCUGAUGACCGGAUUCUCAUUAGCGGGUGGUUAAACACCAGCAAGGAUGCUGUGAAAGGCAAUGAUCAGAAGGGCAAGACCUUCUGGAAUAGGGUUGCUAAGUAUUUUUCAGAUAGUCCUCUUUCUGAUGGCAAUGAGAAGAUAGGGCCAGUUCAGUGUAAACAGAGAUGGUCUAAGAUCCAAGAUACGGUGGGGAAGUUUUGUGGAACAUAUGCUGCUGCGGUAAGGGCUAAAACUAGUGGUCAGAAUGAAGAUGAUAUACUGAGGACAGCAUAUGAUAUGUACUAUAACAUUUAUCAGAAAAAAUUCGUUCUUGAGCAUUGUUGGUUAGAGUUACGCUACGACCAGAAAUGGUGUGAGAGUGUUAAUGGUAAAGCACCUGAAGUAACCAACAGGAAAAGACUCUUUGAUGAUCCUACACAAGCUUCAGCUUCUCAGACCGGCGGUAAUAUAGAUGAGCCAACAAACACAAGGCCUAUUGGCAGAGACGCAAGUAAGGCCAAACAGAGGAAGACUCAUACAGAAGCGAAAGAAGAGAAGGCUUUGAAGGAGUACCAAGGCAUGUGGGAAAUCAAGAGGGAAGAAUUGCUGCUGAAAGAGAGAUUGUCAAAAAUGCAAAUUCUUGACAGUUUGCUGGCCAAAAC